CACACCCUAUUAUCACAGGGAAUUAAAGUGCAGAGGAAGCAGAGGGCUCUGAGGAAUAUUAAUGAAGUACCUGCCAUAGUGCCGUAGUGACCACCAGCUUCUUUUACUCAGUUUUAUUCAGCAGAUUUGGUCAAACAAGACCCAACAAAAAAAAGUGUCUUAUAACAACCCCUGUAUAAGAAGAGUUCCCAGUGUAAGUGGGCACUAAUGAGACGAGUGGAGCCGAGUGGGUUGAACCGCAUCGGCUGACAAUGAAACAGAACCACCACCACUUAUCCGCGGCAUCAGGAUCACAAGAGCCAGGAGUCUACACCAUGGCACAAGGAAGGGGACGACCUGGAAAUAGUAGCAACCCAACACAAUGUCCAAUCAUACUACAGAAAAUUUAGACAUGACAAUCACCUGACAACACGUCUUUAAGCUGGACGAUGUCAAUAAAGAAACCAGAUUCCUUGGAGAAAGCACCCGAAGCAUGGGCAGAACAUGCAAACUCUGCACACAGGGUAGAGGUGUGAGCUUGAGGUUUGAGCUAAACACUGUUCCCUAGUAGCAUUUCUAACCACACAUAUUUUUCCUAUGCUGCUGUGUGUUAAUUGGAUCACAAUGUGAAUUGGCACUGGCUUUUAUUGUACACUUCAUUACUCUUUAGCAAGCUUAAUGCAAAAUCCAUUUUUGGCAAAAGUGUUUCCAAAACGGAGUUUUAGCAGCUUAGAGACUUGCACUUGCAGCAGUGAUCUUGAUUUAGAGGGAAGUAUAAUGGAAGUAAACCACUUUUAUCCAUUACGCUUAUCUACUCACUUAAUUCCUAUUUAAGCAUUUAUUUGCAUAUUUUCCCUACCUGGGCAGAUUUUAGAUUUUUUUUGGUAAACAGUUUAUCUGCGGCAAUCUCUAUACUUUUAAAACUUCUUAUUUUUGUUUUUAGAAAUUUAUUGCCAAAAAGAUUUUCCUAGCCUUGCCUCAUACAAAGCCAGACUAAAUGUCAUCUUUGCCAAAGCAUUCUCUGAAGGACUACACUCCGAGUCCUCCAAAAGAAGCUCGCAUCUGACCCCUAUCAUCUACUGCCAUCUCUUCAGCUACACUAGGUGUAAUUGUCUCAAUAGGUUUCCCUUAUUUUCCUCUCAUAUCUCUGUGGAGUUCAGUUUCAUGAGUUUUCACUUAUUACACUGCAUGAUGUUUCCAGCCCAUCUUGGUUAGCAAAAUAGCUAACAAACAAAACUGACUGGACUGAAAGUUGGGUGUCGCUAUGUGUAGCCUCAUUAUGCUGAAUGAGUUCUGCUUUAUCUUCUCCACUCACCACACCUUCCACCAUCUAGCCAACUAGCAAGCUUGUGGCUAUCAUAGUCAUUUUACUGUUCAGUUAGCCUGCAAAGUUAACUGCACAGCUAGUUCAUUAACCCCAUCUAGCUGUUCUCUUUCUAUGCUAAUGCAACUAAAAUGGUUAAGUGUGGCUCUAUAUUUGUUUACUAUUUAAGCUUAACACUUUAGCUGUGGCUAUGUCACUUAUGUCACCUAUUUUUCACCCUGCCAGACUCCCUCUGAUAAACUCCCAUAUCCCCUGUCAUUAAACAAUUACUAUUUAAUUCCUGAUUUAAAAUUUAAUCUGACCCAAGACGGAUUCCAAGUCUGAACUGCAGCAUAAAAAUGUGAAAGAAAUACAUCUUUUUGAUGAGGUUUUAAAAGCAGAGAAAAAGUGGAGAAUAAAAUCUGAGACACUUUUUAGAUGCAUAUACAACCUUGGGUCAAGCCCAGCUUUUUAACAUAAAUUCAUACUGGCCAAUUUUAAGCCAAUUUUCAAACAUAUCAUCUGAACCUGUAGAGAAUGUAGUCUGCACUCUACACUUUUAACUGGACUGACUUAUUGCUAUGUCAUACCCCAUACAAAGAGAAGAGUAAACAGACACAUCAUUACAAUGGUCAUCAAUAUUUUCCAGACU